rfam:Tupaia chinensis contig110155, whole genome shotgun sequence.
GGAAAAUUCUUUAUGUUGAAUCUACAUCUGUUUCUCUAUAGUUUGCACUCAUUGGAGCCAUACCGAAUAAAAUGUCUAAUGCUGCUUCCACAAAUAUUUGAGGACUGCUAACACAUUUCCUUCUUCCACUCACUUCACAAGGCUGCUUUUCUUUAAAUCGAACCUGCCCAGUUAUUUCACACAGGGAGGCAGUGUGGGGUAGUGGAAAGAUCGGCAGAUUUGGAGCCAGACACAU